rnacentral:rRNA from 1 species
UACGUAGGGUGCGAGCGUUGUCCGGAAUUAUUGGGCGUAAAGAGCUCGUAGGCGGUGUGUCGCGUCGGUCGUGAAAACUUUCAGCUUAACUGGGAGCUUGCGGUCGAUACGGGCAUCACUGGAGUUCGGCAGGGGAGACUGGAAUUCCUGGUGUAGCGGUGAAAUGCGCAGAUAUCAGGAGGAACACCGGUGGCGAAGGCGGGUCUCUGGGCCGAUACUGACGCUGAGGAGCGAAAGCGUGGGGAGCGAACAGU